rnacentral:rRNA from 1 species
GUCGGGAAAUCCACUCGCCUAACGAGUGGGCGUCCGGCGGAAACUCCAGGGCUUGGGACCGGAAGACUUGAGGGGUACGUCUGGGGUAGGAGUGAAAUCCUGUAAUCCUGGACGGACCGCCGAUAGCGAAAGCACCUCAAGGCGACGGAUCCGACAGUGAGGGACGAAAGCUAGGGUCUCGAACCGGAUUAGAUACCCGG